GAGGGUAUAGCUCAAGUGGUAGAGCACGUGGUUAGUAUGCACGAGGUCCUGUGUUCAAUCCCCAGUACUUCA
rnacentral:tRNA from 1 species